rnacentral:lncRNA from 1 species
GCCCCUUAUCUUGGUUUGCUCAUAUGGUGUAUCGCUAAUGUGAUGUGCGUAGUGUAAGAUAUAAUUUUUUCUGGUCAUGAUUGAUUCACUAUAGGGUAAAUCAUAUAUGUUUCAAGAUACUGUUUUCUCUACAGUGACAAUAAGAGGAAUGGGUUCCUUCCAUAGAAUCUUGACGAAGGGUGAAGGGCCAUUUUCUUGGAACAGUACUCCUCUUAUAAAAGAGG